rnacentral:misc_RNA from 1 species
AAACGAACUUCAUGAAAUAUAGAGUUCAUUCAUCGUGCUGAUGCCAAGAACUUUGUGUAAAAAAAAUCGCUCGAAAUUUCCUUUCAAGGUCAAUAGUUCACUGUAUAUUUUAUCUAAAAGAAAGAUAAUAUGUCGUCAGAAGGCGAUGACGUGCUAGCUCCUCAGCAAGAAGAAAAACAGAGACUGAAUGAUUCACCUGAUUCUUCGAUGGAGAGCGGCGAGGAACCGGAGAAAAUUGCACUCAAAAAGAAUAUCACACUCCUAGACGGAAUUGGACUUAUUGCAGGAACUGUAAUAGGCUCUGGUAUCUUUAUUUCACCCACGGGAAUCCUUAAGGAUACAAAUUCUAUAGGGCUUGCUCUUGUAGUAUGGUUAGGAUGCGGCCUUCUUGCUAUGUUUGGUUGCUUGGUUUACGCCGAGUUGGGAGCAUUUGUGACUAAAUCUGGUGCUGAAUAUGCCUAUCUUAUGCAAGCUUUUGGUAAAAUUCCUGCCUAUCUGUUUGCCUGGACUUCAAUUCUGAUCAUUCGUCCGGCGUCUGGAGCGAUAAUUGCCCUGAUCUUUGGUGAAUAUGUAGCGAAGCCAUUUUUUCCGACAUGUGUACCACCUUCGGAAGCUGUGAAACUGCUAGCGUUUGUCUGUUUGGUCGUUGUAACUGCAGUGAAUGUUUGGAGUGUCAGAUGGGCAACUCGUAUGCAAGAUAUCUUUACAUACUCCAAGUUGAUAUGCAUUGCCAUAUUGACAAUCAUUGGAAUUGUGGAAAUGGCUCGAGGUAAAACAGAACAUUUCAAUGACAGCUUUAAGGAUUCCUACACAUCAGUUGGUAAAAUUGGCAUGGCUUUCUAUAUUGGACUAUGGGCUUAUGAUGGAUGGAACAACUUAAACUACUGUACUGAGGAAAUGAAGCGCCCAGAAAAAGAUAUGCCACGGGCUAUUGUAAUCGGCAUUACAUUGAUUACAAUCUGCUAUAUUCUUAUCAAUGUAUCUUAUAUCGCUGUACUUGGAAAAUCUGGUAUCCUGGCAUCUGAAGCUGUUGCCAUUAGUGUUGGCAAUCUUUACCUUGGACCAGUGGACUGGAUUAUCCCAGUAUUUGUUGCUGCCUCAACAUUUGGUGCUGUAAAUGGCCUGGUACUCACGAAUGGAAGACUGUUGUAUGUUGCUGCUCGUGAUGGUCUGAUGCCAUCACUACUCGCCAUGAUUCACACCAAGCGAUUUACUCCUCUGCCUUCAUUGCUUUUCACUACUCUGAUUUCCAUCCUCAUGUUGAUUCCUGAGACGAGCAGCUUUGAGACUCUGAUUGAUUUCUUCAGCUUUGCUGCCUGGUUGUUCUAUGGCGGUACAUUUGCAUCUUGUUUGUGGCUUAGGUACAAGCAACCCGAUAAGCGCCGGCCAUAUAAGGUUUGGUUGAUUGUACCGAUUGGCAUGACUAUUGCAUCUGUUUUUCUCAUGGUUGCACCAAUUUUUACCAAUCCAUGGGGCUCACUGAUUGCUUUGGUUGUAAUUGCUGCUGGUCUACCUUUCUACUAUCUGUUUGUUGUAUCCAACUUAGUUCCUAAAUGUUUCACAAAUGCUAUGGAUUCCUUCACAAUAUGGAACCAAAAAGUAUUUGACUUAGCCAUGACAGACCCUGAAGAAGUCCCUGUACCCUUUUAAUGCAAAAUCCAACCUUUUUAACACAUCAUAUAGGUAACUUAAUGCAGUUGUGUAUUGAGAAGUCACCAUAAGUUUAAACUUUCAUAGUCUGUUAGGCUGCCAUCUUAGUUUUGCCUGAAGGGUGAUGUCUUAACAAGUUACAGCUUUGUAGGGAUGCUGCGCAAGUGUACCAGUGUCAUCAAUAAGUCAUUUAAACCGUGAUAGCAUUAUACGGGACAUACAACUAUUUUAAGUUAGCGUUAAGGCUGAUUUACACGGCACGAUUGUCUCGUGCGAUUUGUAGUAUACGACUUGAAUCGCGCCUUGUAAAUGCCCCUACGACUUGUAGUAGGAUUUUGAACCACGGCUUAAAAUCCUACGACUUGUAGAAGGAAAAUCGUAUACUACAAGUCGCGUCGCGCCUUUAAAUUGCAGGGUUAAUGGCUGUGCAGUUUUAUUGCCCUAUGCAAAGGUGAAUGACAAUGUAAGCAUCUUAAACACUUCAAACAUUG